rnacentral:lncRNA from 1 species
CGGGCAGACAUUUGGCAGGCCCUCUGCACCAGUGGAGCAGCAAGGAGUACUCCAGUAGGUGGGAGAGGGCCUGAUAAAAUCGGACCACGCAGCAGGAUUGGAUUAGGUAUACAGAUGGCUUAGUCGACACAUAUGUUGUGACCGACAGACUGGUAAAAAAUCUAUACCAAAACUCUUCAUUAGAACUAUAAAAACUCUUAUAUGUUUAUUUUAAUUAAUAUAAUUUUAUUAUUUACUUAUUGUAGAUACGGUAGCUGGGUCGUCCACCAGACUAGCUGCAGUUGUGGGAGG